GACGAACGCUGGCGGCGUGCUUAACACAUGCAAGUCGAACGGAAAGGCCCUGCUUUUGUGGGGUGCUCGAGUGGCGAACGGGUGAGUAACACGUGAGUAACCUGCCCUUGACUUUGGGAUAACUUCAGGAAACUGGGGCUAAUACCGGAUAGGAGCUCCUGCUGCAUGGUGGGGGUUGGAAAGUUUCGGCGGUUGGGGAUGGACUCGCGGCUUAUCAGCUUGUAGGUGGGGUAGUGGCUUACCAAGGCUUUGACGGGUAGCCGGCCUGAGAGGGUGACCGGCCACAUGGGGACUGAGAUACGGCCCAGACUCCUACGGGAGGCAGCAGUGGGGAAUAUUGCACAAUGGGCGGAAGCCUGAUGCAGCAACGCCGCGUGCGGGAUGACGGCCUUCGUGUUGUAAACCGCUUUCGCCUGUGACGAAGCGUGAGUGACGGUAAUGGGUAAAGAAGCACCGGCUAACUACGUG
rnacentral:rRNA from 1 species